UUCUACGCAAAGGGCUUAAUAACAAGAGAGGAGUUCCAGUCAUGCACUAUUGCGAUGGCACUUCGGACUUUACACGAAAUAAAAGCUCCUUUUGAGAAUGCCAUUCUCCCAGUCCCACAAGCUGGUCUGAAUUUGUUGAAGGAACCUGAAGAGUUGUUCACCGCUUGUUAUGCCAAAACAAUGUGGCGACAAAACCUGAAGACACAUGGCGUUGACGACAAAAAUCUGUUUGCUCAUCUCCUGGCAAAGGGGUUUAGUGUUGUGCUAAAUGGAACCUUGCGGAACACCUUCAGGAACACACGCAGUGCUGAGGAACAGUCGACAAUAUUAAAAGACUACUACGAAUGUUUCACUCAAAAACUGGCAUUGGCGAACCCAGAGGCUUUCCAGAGUGAACUUUUUGUCAGCAGACUUGUUGCUCAGAAGUUAAAAUAGUUUCUUUGCUGUACUCAUGUCUAGCAGACCAACCGAUGUCUGCUAUAUACUGCUUUUGUAAUAAAUCAAAUGUGUAAUACCCUGUCAGUGUCUUUUGUGGAAUUCUUGCAUUGUUCUUUCUUGUUUGUGUAGUGAUCUUUUUGUUGAUGUUUUGCAUUUUUUAUUUUAGCUUUGCUUUAUUUAUCUUUCUGUACAUGGAUAACGCGGUAUUGACAUUUUAUUGUCACUCAAGAAACAAACGAAUUCAAACUUCUUGUUGUUGUUGUUGUUGUUGUUGUUGUUGUUGUUGUUGUUGUUGUUGUUGUUGUUGUUGUUGUUGUU